AACAAACCCUGCAUGCAUGGCAUAGAGGGAAAUUCCUGCCUUCAAAUCAAGAGAUAUGAGUUGGUGAAGUUGAGAAUCCCAGAAUUUCAAAAUUGGGCAUCCAUUUUGGGGACAACUCUACUAGGCCUUCCUGACUAAACUUCUGAUUGUCUGGACACCAUGUUCUUCUGUGGGUUCCUUCUCUUUUCCCCUUCCUCUCAAGGGCAGGGAGAAUAAUAUCCAGACCAGGAAGAAUAGACCAAAAAUGGCUAAUAGAAAAUUGAAACCCAAGAUAAGUUAGGAGAAGAUUAAAAAAAAAAAGAAGUGAAAAGCUGCCCUGGAGAAGUUAAAGUCACCUGGCCUGGAAGAACCACAUCCCAGGGAACUGAAAGAAUUCAGGGGUGAGAUUGCAGCUGUCAAUUAUCAUUGAGUUGUGGCAAGUGGAGCUUUGGGACAGGAGGUGAACAAAUGUUGGCUCUAAUUCCAAACGAGCAAAAAAAAGGGGUGGAAAAAUCAA